GCAUGAAGUCGGAAUUGCUAGUAAUCGCGGAUCAGCAUGCCGCGGUGAAUACGUUCCCGGGCCUUGUACACACCGCCCGUCACACCAUGGGAGCCGGUAAUACCCGAAGUCAGUAGUCCAACCACGUGAGGACGCUGCCGAAGGUAGGAUUGGCGACUGGGGUGAAGUCGUAACAAGGUAAC
rnacentral:rRNA from 1 species